CGAAGUAAAGUCGUAACAAGGUUUCCGUAGGUGAACCUGCGGAAGGAUCAUUAAUAAUGGUCUACGUUUUUUAAGUAGACGCUUAAUAAUCCUACCUUGUGAAUUGUUGUUUGAAAUAUUUUUUUAAAAUUAUGAUUGUCUUUCCUGUUGAAUUGGUUGUCUUAAUGGCAAAUGAUUCGCAGGGAGUGUCAGUAAUUUUAAAAGACCUUUUUAAAAUUAAACUUUUUGUAUUCAUUUGUCUAAAAUUAUUUUAUAAUAUAAAAACACUUUUGACAAUGGAUCUCUGGUUCUCGCAACGAUGAAGAACGCAGCAAAUGCGAUAAGUAGUGAAUGCAGAAUACGUGAAUCAUCGAAUCUUCGAACGCAUAUUGCACUUUUUAGUUUACUAAAAAGUAUGUCUGUUUGAGUAUCAGUAAAUAUUCUCAUAAAAACUUUUGUUUUUAUGGUUAUGAGUGUUUACAACGAUACAAGUUGUUUCACUUUAAAUUUUUUUAAAAUUGAAUUUUCUAAUUUUAAAAUAAUGGAUAAAAUUUUCCCGUAAAAAGGAAUAACUAAAACAAUUUUAAUUUUUUGAUUAGAAUUCUUCAAUUAUAAAGGAAAUUUAACUAAAUAACUUGAUCUCAAAUCAGAUAAGAGUACCCGCUGGACUUAAGCAUAUCAAUAAGCGGAGGAAAGAACUAACAAGGAUUCCUUAGUAACGGCGAGUGAAGCGGGAGAGCUCAAUUUGAAAUCUUCAAGGUUUACCUUGACGAAUUGUAGUUAAAGAAGUGUUUUCUGUUGAAGUUUUGGUAAAAGUUCUUUGGAAUAGGACAUCAUAGAGGGUGAGAAUCCGUAUUUGACCAUUAUUUCAGCUGUGAUACACUUUCAAAGAGUCGAUUGUUGGGAAUGCAGUCCAAAAUGGUGGUAAUUUCAUCUAAGCUAAAUAUUGGCGAGAGACGAUAGCGAACAAGUACCGUGAGGAAAGAUGAAAAGAACUUUGAAAGAGAGUUAAACAGUACGUGAAAUUGUCAAAGGGAAGCGUUUGACACCAGUGUUGUUUUCUCGAAAAUCAAUUAAAAAAGUUGGAUUUGUGUUGUAUUGACCUUAACAGCUUGCUUCACUCUUUCUUGCUUUUUUAAUGCACUUUUCGUUUAACAAGUCACAUCAGUUUCUUUUGUUGUAAAAGGGUCAUUGGAAGGUGGCUUUCUCUUCGGAGAAAGUGUUAUAGCCUUUGAUCUCUGCAAUCGGAGAGACUGAGGUCUGCAGCGUAGAUCCUUCGGGGUUAGAUACAUUUGUGCUAAGCUACAGCUUUCAUAGACACUUGUUGACUAUGUUUAGUCUUCUAACUUACCCGCUUAUGCUAUUUACCUACGCUUAGGAUGUGA
rnacentral:misc_RNA from 1 species